UACGUAGGGGGCUAGCGUUGUCCGGAUUUAUUGGGCGUAAAGAGCGUGUAGGCGGCUUUACAGGUCCGUUGUGAAAACUCGAGGCUCAACCUCGAGACGCCGGUGGAAACCGUAAGGCUAGAGUCCGGAAGAGGAGAGUGGAGUUCCUGGUGUAGCGGUGAAAUGCGCAGAUAUCAGGAAGAACACCCGUGGCGAAGGCGGCUCUCUGGGACGGUACUGACGCUGAGACGCGAAAGCGUGGGGAGCGAACAGG
rnacentral:rRNA from 1 species